rnacentral:sRNA from 1 species
UGAAGUAGCGGAGUAGUCCUGUACAUCUU